ACAUGAUGCAUUUCUCUUGAUCCCAUUCUAACCUCUCAUUAAGGUAAGAUACCACAAACAGAAAUUUUCCAUGAAAAUCACUGUGAGAACCUGAUGGUAAGGGCAGAAAAGAAAUCCUACUGAUGUGAGCAAUGCUUAAGUGCCUUUACUAUGAAAGUAAUCUCUUUCACAUGCAACCACCUGCCCUGUGCACCUACAUCUUUGUAGGUCUAUCAGACAAGCAAGGGUCCCUGAGACAACUGUCUCCUUCAUUACAAAACCUUGGUUCUGGUCCAGGGUAGCCUGAGUAACAAGGAGCCCAACAGCCCCACCUAUAAUUAUGAAGCGAGCUUCCAAAUACAAUAUCAAACACAAAGGCUUAAGGAAUGUUAACUGCUGCAUGUAGGACAAGCUCAAGUUAAAGUACUGACAGAUUUAUUUGUUCCAGUUGAAAAACCAAACAACAUUCAAUAAAUUUUGUGUGUGUUAGUAGCAAACAGUAAUACUGCUACGGAGCACACACUGAGCCUCACAGUGUGAGGUUUCCUUGUUGGCCAUCUUCUGUGGAGAGCAGGUCUGCAUCAGAGAGAGCAGACACAGAGUGUCACCGGUCUUCUCAUUACAGCAGAGUGUCUCAUCUGAUAGCUGGUGCAGAGUCCCCGUGCUGUCAGAGGUGCCUGGAGCCACAGCAAGGCAAGGGCAAGAAGGAUCCCCAGGAGGGUGCUAAAUACACCUGGGCUGUGCCAUCGACACUGCCAGCAGUGCCACCCAGAUCACUGAGUCUGCCUACUGACAGCAGCAGGACCAGGAUUUCCUAA
rnacentral:lncRNA from 1 species